UUUAUUAUUGAGUUUUUGAUUUCAAAAACUUUAUUUUUUAUUUAUCUAUGCACCUGUCGAAUUUCAUUGAAAAAAUUUUAGAAACUAAAAUAGUUGAAUUUUAUUAUGUUUUACAAUUACACUUGCUAGAUUUACUAUUGAGUUUUUUGAUGUCAAAAACUUUGUUUUUCGUAUAUCUGUGCGUCUGCUAAAUUUCAUUAAAAAUUUUUUUGUAGCAGGUUGCCGUAUUUUUGGAAGAUUUUAUUUCCUCCGAAGUGGUCGUGGGAGACAGAAGGGUCAAUAGAUCAUUUUUUCAAAUUUGAUUUAGAUACAAAAACAAAAAAAUAAAAGCACAGCUGCUAUUCAAAAGUAAGUGAAUCUAAAUCAUGAAGAUCGCACUGAAUUAGAUGACUUGAAAAUGUUAAAUGUAUGUUCAAUAUUUGGUGUUCAACCUUCUGUUGAUAUGUUAUUUUGAUGAGAAAAAGAACUUUCUUAAAUUCAUCAAUAUUUUAUCGAAUCACAAAAUAAAAAGAUAUUCAAAUAUUUGUAUGGGAUGUCUGGUGUCAGAAAGACACAAAUUACCAGAAAUUAUUAUGAAAUUUAUCGUAACGUAAAUGAUAAAUUUCACAAUAUUUUCUGGUAAUAUUUUAUAUCAAGCACGAUUUGGAAAGUUACAUACCUCAAUGAGUAUUCUUUAUGAAUUAUUAAUAUUAAUUGUUCAAGAUUCCCAGAGCGAUUCUUUAACAUAGAAGCGAUUGUUGAAAAAAUUAACAACUAUUAUAAAAAUAAAAAGACUUUGUAUAUUUUUGACAAUGUUGGCGAUGAAAGUUUUCGAAAUUUGGGAAUGUACAUUUCAAAACCGAAUUCAUUUACCUUGAUAACCUCACAAUGCAGAACAUGGUAAAAUAACGUAAAUCAAAUGUUCAUUAAUAGUUUUUUUUUCUUAAGAUGCUUUUGAAUAUGUAAAAAACAGCAUUAAAGAAAACACCAACAAAAAUAUAAAAACCUAACUAAAGAACUUAAUUACCAUCCGUUGGCUAUUACUCAAAUAAUAAAAUAUACGAAGAUACAUAAAAUUUCCGAAGAAAAAUAUAUAGAUCGAUAAAAGUCGAAACCGUAGAGAUCGAUAGACAUCAAAAACCUAAAAAGGUCGAUACAAAUCAAAACCCUUAGAAAUAGUGGACGAUGAUAACUUUUGAAAUGAAGUAUAAUCAAAGUCUGCAAUUAAAGCAAUCAAUUUAGUGUUAUUAAAAUAAAAACUAAUAUUAUUUCAUUAAAAAUACUUAACUGUUUAUCUCAUUGCAAUGGUCAAUACAAUUUAUUUAAUACAAAUCUCAAAACAAAUGACAAUAAUUGAAGACUACCUAAUAGAUAAAGACAUCGUAUUACUAAUAAGUCAUUCUUUACUAGAUCGUUUGGAUGGUGAAAAUUAUUUAAUGUACAAACUGGCGCAGUUGUCGUGUAAAUGUUUUCAAUACAAAAACUCAAGUUCAAAUAUGUACCUUGGUCUAUUCGAAAAUUAUUUUAAAAUAAUUUUCGAUUAGACCAAGGUAUAAAUAAUUUGAGUUAAACGAAGUAAAAGAUCACUUUAGAUUAUGGAAACACUUUGUUUUUGAUUUUCUUCACAAGUUUCACAUUAACAAAAAGAGAACGUUGAUAGCCUUCCAUCAUAUGAUGUCUUCUAUUAAAACUUUAGUAUGUAAAGGUUAAUUUCAAGAAACAAUUAAAAUAUUGGAAACUGUUCAAAGUUUUAUUUUUCAAAGUUCUGAUAAAUUAGUCAACUCACAUUUAAUACAAUAUAUUAUAUCGCAGAAUGUUUGAACAAAAUUGGAAAAUAUAACGACGCUUUAGAAUUUUAUUAUUCCGUUGAUAAAAUACAAACUAAACUUUUAGGUAUCAAAAAAAUAAUUUUGCACUCUGUAUGAUACGGGAAAAAAUAACAAAUCUUUAGAUUUGUUAUAUUUUCUGUUGAUAUAAUACGAAUUGAAAUUUUAGGUAUCAACCAUCUAUGAUAACAAAAAAAUAUUGCUAUUUGUUUGCAAGAUAUGGAAAGCUUUUAGAAAUUUAUUUUUUUCUUGAUAAUAUAAAAAAUGAAAUUUUAGGUAUCAGCUAUCCAUCAUCAAUGAAAAAAAAAUAAUAUCGCAGGAUAUUUGCAAGUUAAGUGAAAAUAUAAAAAAAACUAAAAUAAGGUGCAAUAUAAUGAUUUUUUUGACUAAAUAAAGAGCUAACUAAAAAUGCUGCUAACUUAAUCUGCUAAUUUUAGUCAUUUUUCUUAACAAAAAUGUGGAUCACGACAUUUUUAAAUCCCCUCCCCCCCCCCUUUUUUUUAUUUUUUUAUUUUUUUUUUAUUGGCAAGUUUGUGAUUGUGAACCACGACGACCGCCAGGUUUGAUGGUCUUCCCACACCCAAUUUUUUUUUUUUUUUUUGUUAAUUAGAAAUAAAACAGUAGUUAGAUUGAGUAAGGGUAUGGAGAACCUCCGUAGAAAUGGUUGAAAUAUAAAUUUUACGCAUUUUAACUUUAGAAUAAAAGAGGAUGAGCUUUGUGA
rnacentral:lncRNA from 1 species